ensembl:misc_RNA Y_RNA Y RNA
GGCUGGUCCCAGUGCAGUGGUGUUUACAGCUAGUUGAUCACAAUCAGAGAUUUUUAUGUUCCUUCUCCAAUCCCACUGCUUCACUUGACUAGCCUUUA